rnacentral:misc_RNA from 1 species
AAGUCGUAACAAGGUUUCCGUAGGUGAACCUGCGGAAGGAUCAUUAAUAAUGAAGCCGGGAAACCGGUCCUUCUAACCCUUGAUUAUCUUAAUUUGUUGCUUUGGUGGGCCGCGCAAGCACCGGCUUCGGCUGGAUCGUGCCCGCCAGAGGACCACAACUCUGUAUCAAAUGUCGUCUGAGUACUAUAAAAUAGUUAAAA